AUUGAACGCUGGCGGAAUGCUUUACACAUGCAAGUCGAGCGGCAGCGCGGCCUUCGGGCUGGCGGCGAGCGGCGAACGGGUGAGUAAUGCAUCGGUACAUGCCCAGUCGUGGGGGAUAACACUUCGAAAGAAGUGCUAAUACCGCAUACGUCCUGAGGGGGAAAGCGGGGGAUCGCAAGACCUCGCGCGAUUGGAGUGGCCGAUGUCAGAUUAGCUAGUUGGUGGGGUAAAGGCCUACCAAGGCGACGAUCUGUAGCUGGUCUGAGAGGAUGAUCAGCCACACUGGGACUGAGACACGGCCCAGACUCCUACGGGAGGCAGCAGUGGGGAAUUUUGGACAAUGGGGGCAACCCUGAUCCAGCCAUUCCGCGUGAGUGAAGAAGGCCUUCGGGUUGUAAAGCUCUUUCGGCAGGAACGAAACGGUGGGCUCUAACAUAGUCCGCUAAUGACGGUACCUGAAGAAGAAGCACCGGCUAACUACGUG
rnacentral:rRNA from 1 species